UAAGACAAUUAGGAUUACCAGGUACUGUAUUAUAUAUAUAUAUGUAUCUACCUCUGUAAGACAAUUAGGAUUACCAGGUACUGUAUUAUAUAUACAUGUAUCUACCUCUGUAAGACAAUUAGGAUUACCAGGUACUGUAUUAUAUAUACAUGUAUCUACCUCUGUAAGACAAUUAGGAUUACCAGGUACUGUAUUAUAUAUAUAUAUAUAUGUAUCUACCUCUGUAAGACAAUUAUGAUUACCAGGUACUGUAUUAUAUUACCAGGUACUGUAUUAUAUAUAUACAUGUAUCUACCUCUGUAAGACAAUUAGGAUUACCAGGUACUGUAUUAUAUAUAUACAUGUAUCUACCUCUGUAAGACAAUUAGGAUUACCAGGUACUGUAUUAUAUAUACAUGUAUCUACCUCUGUAAGACAAUUAGGAUUACCAGGUACUGUAUUAUAUAUACAUGUAUCUACCUCUGUAAGACAAUUAGGAUUACCAAGUACUGUAUUAUAUUACCACGUACUGUAUUAUAUUACCAGGUACUGUAUUAUAUAUAUAUAUGUAUCUACCUCUGUAAGACAAUUAGGAUUACCAGGUACUGUAUUAUACAGUACUGUAUAUAUAUAUAUCUACCUCUGUAAGACAUUGAAGUAUCAAAAUGCUUCUUCCUUCUCGCUGCACCUUGCAGAUAUCCUUGAGAAAAUUCUCAGUUACAUGAUAUAUACACAUGUUUAUAAAGUAUGUAUAUUACAGUUAGCAGUGAGAGCCCCCAUCUGAGGCCCCUUACUGUAAUGAUGUGAUAACAGGGCAUGUAAUAUAUAUAUAUAUACAG